rnacentral:rRNA from 1 species
CGGGGGGGGCAAGCGUUGUUCGGAAUUACUGGGCGUAAAGGGCUCGUAGGUGGCCAACUAAGUCAGACGUGAAAUCCCCAGGCUUAACCUGGGAACUGCGUCUGAUACUGGAUGGCUUGAAUUCGGGAGAGGGAUGCAGAAUUCCAGGUGUAGCGGUGAAAUGCGUAGAUAUCUGGAGGAAUACCGGUGGCGAAGGCGGCAUCCUGGACCGAGAUUGACACUGAUGAGCGAAAGCCAGGGGAGCAAACGGGAUUAGAUACCCCGGUAGUCCUGGCCUAAACGAUGAAUGCUUGGUGUGACGGGUAUCGAUCCCUGUCGUGCCGAAGCUAACGCAUUAAGCAUUACCGCCUGGGGAGUACGGUCGGCAAGGCUG